AAUCAAGUGCCUUAAGGGUGUUCGGUGAUGCCU
rnacentral:rRNA from 1 species